AAUUCGUAUUUCCUAACGAGAAUAAAAGGGAGUGUGCAAGAAAUGUUGGUAGAGGAAGUCAAAUGGCGCCAUCAUGCAAACGUACGUCUUUGUACUACGUGACGAAAUCAAGAAUGCGCGAAGCGAAGUUCAAGAUUCCGUAAAGAUUCUAUUUUAAAACGACCGCUCAUGGCCACAAGCUAAAUGACAACAGAUUAUUUUCCUUCCUGCCUUGUUUCCAGUACAGGUCUGUGGACACUGACUAGACCGGGUUUUCUCUUGCUACCAUAUUCAAUAAAAUUCAUGCGCUGAGACGGCGCCAAUAACAA